rnacentral:rRNA from 1 species
AUUGAACGCUGGCGGCAGGCCUAACACAUGCAAGUCGAACGGUAACAGGAAGAAGCUUGCUUCUUUGCUGACGAGUGGCGGACGGGUGAGUAAUGUCUGGGAAACUGCCUGAUGGAGGGGGAUAACUACUGGAAACGGUAGCUAAUACCGCAUAACGUCGCAAGACCAAAGAGGGGGACCUUCGGGCCUCUUGCCAUCGGAUGUGCCCAGAUGGGAUUAGCUAGUAGGUGGGGUAACGGCUCACCUAGGCGACGAUCCCUAGCUGGUCUGAGAGGAUGACCAGCCACACUGGAACUGAGACACGGUCCAGACUCCUACGGGAGGCAGCAGUAGGGAAUAUUGCACAAUGGGCGCAAGCCUGAUGCAGCCAUGCCGCGUGUAUGAAGAAGGCCUUCGGGUUGUAAAGUACUUUCAGCGGGGAGGAAGGGAGUAAAGUUAAUACCUUUGCUCAUUGACGUUACCCGCAGAAGAAGCACCGGCUAACUCCGUG